rnacentral:piRNA from 1 species
UGAAAAAAAUGGUCUCAGUGGAAAAGA